rnacentral:rRNA from 1 species
GACGAACGCUGGCGGCGUGCUUAACACAUGCAAGUCGAACGGAAAGGCCCUGCUUUUGUGGGGUGCUCGAGUGGCGAACGGGUGAGUAACACGUGAGUAAACUGCCCUUGACUUUGGGAUAACUUCAGGAAACUGGGGCUAAUACAGGAUAGGAGCUCCUGCUGCAUGGUGGGGGUUGGAAAGUUGCGGCGGUUGGGGCUGGACUCGCGGCUUAUCAGCUUGUUGGUGGGGUAGUGGCUUACCAAGGCUUUGACGGGUAGCCGGCCUGAGAGGGUGAACGGCCACAUUGGGACUGAGAUACGGACCAGACGCCUACGUGAGGCAGCAGUGGAGAAUAUUGCACAACAGGCGGAAGCCUGAGGCAGCAACGCCGCGUGCGGGAUGACGGCCUUCGGGUUGUAAACCGCUUUCGCCUGUGACGAAGCGUGAGUGACGGUAAUUGGUAAAGAAGCACCGGCUAACUACGUG